rnacentral:tRNA from 1 species
GGAGGGGUGGCAGAGUGGUCGAAUGCACUGGUCUUGAAAACCAGCGUACCGCAAGGUACCGUGGGUUCGAAUCCCACCCCCUCCGCCC